GAGUUUGAUCCUGGCUCAGAUUGAACGCUGGCGGCAUGCCUUACACAUGCAAGUCGAACGGCAGCGUGAUCUAGCUUGCUAGAUUGAUGGCGAGUGGCGAACGGGUGAGUAAUACAUCGGAACGUGCCCUGUAGUGGGGGAUAACUAGUCGAAAGAUUAGCUAAUACCGCAUACGACCUGAGGGUGAAAGUGGGGGACCGCAAGGCCUCAUGCUAUAGGAGCGGCCGAUGUCUGAUUAGCUAGUUGGUGGGGUAAAGGCCCACCAAGGCGACGAUCAGUAGCUGGUCUGAGAGGACGAUCAGCCACACUGGGACUGAGACACGGCCCAGACUCCUACGGGAGGCAGCAGUGGGGAAUUUUGGACAAUGGGCGAAAGCCUGAUCCAGCAAUGCCGCGUGUGUGAAGAAGG
rnacentral:rRNA from 1 species